ensembl:lncRNA
CUACCACUUUUCAUGCCCUUUUCUUCUCCAUACCAUCUGAAGUUGAUUUAGUCUAUGCUUUAUUCUAGUGGAAUGAUAAGUGAAUCCAACUGGUAUCAUUGUGUUUUUUUUGAGGCCUGAAAUCUCCUUAGCUCUGUGGUUUAGGGGGUCUUUAUGACACCUGUUAUGUUUUGCAUCAGGUUGUGUAACCCCAGUCCUGUACUUAUUACUGUUUUUAAAUGGCUGCUGCAGGCCCCUGCCUUGGAGUUCUGGGAAGAGGUUGCCAUGAUGAGUUUAUCUAAUGCGUCAGGAGCCGCUGCUGUCAUGCAAGUGAGCAGACUAUCCCAAGUUGGAAGGGAUCCACAAGGAUCAUCGAGUCCAACUCCUGAUGCCACACAGGACCAUCCAAACCCUAUGCCUGAGAGCACUGUCCAAACACUCCAACUCCAGCAGUUUUUGUUUCUUACAGCAUCACAUCUUGCUUUGAUGGUACAUGUUUCUGGCAUGCCCUUUAUGUCUCUAUAGUGUAUGUAGGAACUGGAGAAAAGGCACUGCUGAACUGGAAAGAUAAGUUAAUUCUACCCAUACCCCAUCCUGUUUUACCUAGUGUGUGAAAUCUCCAUACUUCUGAUGCCAUUUGAGUUUUUGUCACUGAGUGUGAUCUACAUUUGCUGUUUCAAACUGUACAAUGUCCAUGUUACAGUGAUUAAAUUUCUGGUGUUCAC